CCCUAUCAAGGAAAUAAAUGUUGUUUUCUCUCAUGAAGAGCAAGGGAACUGAAACCUCUAGAAAAGACAAAGGCAGGAGAAAAGCUGCCCUAAUGGCUGAAUUAGCUGUUUCCAUCUUGCUCCCUACAGGAUGCUUCUCUCCAGCAGCAAAUCAGGCCAAAGAGAUGCUAAGCCAUAACUUUUCCAACUCUGCUUCUGUUUUUUCUCUCUUUCUAGGCUCUUCCUCCUUUCCUCUGCUGUUCUCCAAAAUAUCUUGCUCUGUAAGGUGUUUCUUAUUCAAAACAGAUUUUAUUACAGCUAACAGUGUUAGCUGUAGAAGUCUUAAGUGAGACAAACAGAUCCCUCUCUGUCUCUUAAUGAGUUUUUUAUAUAUUUUAAUUAGUCUGUUAGUGUGGUCACAUUUUUCCUUAAUCAGAAGCUCAGAGGAAAAGCUCUGGAAAUAACAGGGCUGGGCCAUUUCCUCUUUGUGUUACCUUUAUAAACACUGAGAUGCAUUUUCUCACAUUGUCUCCUUCCUUAUUUUUACUCCAGUGGAGUCUGAAGGGCUGGGCUGGACUCUCUGGUUUAGACUGCAGAAGCAGCUGAGACCAAUCCCACCAGGUUGCUUCCCACUGGUAUGAGGAAUCCUGCUUUAUCUCUUUCCAAGAAGUCAGCCACAGCUCUGUGCAGAAUUGCUAUGGGCCCUUAAUGAGUAAAGCUUUGGACAUAAUCUUCUUCCAGACUUUCACACCCAGGAGGCCACAGGAUUAAACACUUUUUUUUGGCACGAA